CCUUAGGACUGGCAUAACCCCCGGGAAACUGGGGAUAAUUCCGGAUAGUUCAUGGUAGCUGGAAUGCUCCAUGAUCGAAAGCUAUUGCGCCUAAGGAUGGGUCUGCGGUCUAUCAGGUAGUAGUGGGUGUAAUGUACCUACUAGCCGACGACGGAUACGGGUUGUGGGAGCAAGAGCCCGGAGAUGGAUUCUGAGACAUGAAUCCAGGCCCUACGGGGCGCAGCAGGCGCGAAAACUUUACAAUGCGGGAAACCGCGAUAAGGGGACACCGAGUGCCAGCAUCUUAUGUUGGCUGUCCGCAUGUAUAAAUCACAUGUGUUAGCAAGGGCCGGGCAAGACCGGUGCCAGCCGCCGCGGUAACACCGGCGGCCCGAGUGGUGGCCACUAUUAUUGGGUCUAAAGGGUCCGUAGCCGGUUUGGUCAGUCUUCCGGGAAAUCUGACGGCUUAACCGUUAGGCUUUCGGGGGAUACUACCAGGCUUGGGACCGGGAGAGGUAAGAGGUACUACGGGGGUAGGAGUGAAAUCUUGUAAUCCUCGUGGGACCACCAGUGGCGAAGGCGUCUUACCAGAACGGGUCCGACGGUGAGGGACGAAAGCUGGGGGCACGAACCGGAUUAGAUACCCGGGUAGUCCCAGCCGUAAACUAUGCUCGCUAGGUGUCAGGGACGGUGCGACCGUUUCUGGUGCCGCAGGGAAGCCGUGAAGCGAGCCACCUGGGAAGUACGGUCGCAAGGCUGAAACU
rnacentral:rRNA from 1 species